rnacentral:rRNA from 1 species
UACGUAGGGGGCAAGCGUUGUCCGGAUUUAUUGGGCGUAAAGAGCGUGUAGGCGGCUAAAUAGGUCCGUUGUGAAAACUCGAGGCUCAACCUCGAGAUGCCGAUGGAAACCAUUUGGCUAGAGUCCGGAAGAGGAGAGUGGAAUUCCCGGUGUAGCGGUGAAAUGCGCAGAUAUCGGGAAGAACACCCGUGGCUAAGGCGGCUCUCUAGUACGGUACUGACGCUGAGACGCGAAAGCGUGGGGAGCAAACAGGG